UACGGGGGGAGCAAGCGUUGUUCGGAUUUACUGGGCGUAAAGGGCGCGUAGGCGGCCAGCACAAGUCAGUUGUGAAAUCUCCGAGCUUAACUCGGAAAGGUCAACUGAUACUGUGCGGCUAGAGUGCGGAAGGGGCAACUGGAAUUCUUGGGUGUAAGCGGUGAAAUGCGUAGAUAUCAAGAGGAACACCUGCGGCGAAGGCGGGUUGCUGGGCCGACACUGACGUGAGGCGCGAAAGCUAGGGGAGCGAACGGG
rnacentral:rRNA from 1 species